UUUCCCAUCGUAAAUGUAUUGUCAACCCCUUCAUAGCCUUCGACUGACUGAUGCUCUCCUUCACCGCCUCACAAUCAAGUAAUGCAUUGAAUAUCUUGUCUCUUCCUUCCCCUAACGGAUCAAAACCCUAACAAUUCAUAAACUUCGUCUCAUCGGCUCCUAUAUGUAAUUAUUUCAGUUCUUUCCCCCAACAGAAAAUGGGUUGAAGGUGAUUCUAAUUGUGACGGUGGAGGUGGUAGGUUGAAGGUGAUUGAUUGGAAAUUCCCGGUUUCAAGCUUCAACUUUCAACGUUUAACAAGUCUCACCUGCCGUGCUGUGUGUGUGAAACCACCGUGAUUGAUUGAUUGGAAUAUUCUACGAUCUGACAGAUGCCAAAUCUUCCUGACGGUAAACUGCAUUCUCAAUUGAUCGAUUGUUUGUUCGUGUGUGUACUCAUCGGUGCCAAACGCCGAAACUUAGUGCUUGAUUGAUGUAGCUUCUUCGGCUAGGAAGAACCCAUCGGCACUUUCACGUCCGGUAAGUGUUUGAUGAAAUGUCUCAGUCAGUAAGUGUUUUAAAGGGCUCUUGUAUCUGUCUUUUUAGUCACUUGUUUAAUGAUUCUUGUUGAGAUUAGUCAUUCUGAAGUGAUAUUCUUGAUGGGUAUGUAAGAAAUCCUGGAGAUACGUUCCUAUUUUCAAAUAUUGUUGGUAAAUUAACCCACAUUCAGAUCUUUAUUUGUUGUGAAUCGUUAGGUGAUGGAAGGAACCUUCUUGCUUUCUUGUUACGGUGAUAUAUUGAAGGAACACAUAUAAAUUGUUUGUAAUGUUAUUGGUUUGUUUACAAGUUGAUUGGUGCUAUAUGCAGUUGGGGAAUCAUUGCAUCUGUUUGACUGUUUGAGGAAUAAAACUACUAGGCAAUGCAAAAGAUGUGCACGAUUGAGGGUUUGCGCAUGACUUUUCAACCUCGGCCUCAAGUUGUAUGGGUGUGAACAAUGAACUAUAUACACAGGUUGAAAUAGAUGGGGAUGUGUGGGGUAAGGGAGUUGGGAUGACAUGGGAUGAAGCUAAGAUGCAGGCUGUGGUCUUAAGCGGAAAAUAAAGCCCAUAUUGGAGUGUUCCGCUUGUUUGUGAAGGCCAUGCUAAGGAUGUGUAAUCUGCUGAUUAAGUCCCAGCUGCACCGCUUGGGCUUAGGUACUCGUAUACAAUUGACAGCCCACUACGUGGUCACCUAAUAUAAUUGCUUCUACUCAUUUUAACAUGUUUUGUUUUUGUAAAAAUUAUUCUAAUUCUUUCCGCGUUGAUCAUGUCGGAUGUUGACGAAAUACCUAGCGCUCACACGAUCGAUCUUUUGAGAUGGUGUGAUGGCCCACCACCGAUUCUUCAUCUAAAUUUGAAUAAUUAUUUGCUCUCUUUUGAGUUCAACGUUGAUCAUAGCAGUUGGAGGGCUUCAGUACAUCAGUACCAAAAGGGUAAAACACGAUACGCUCAUUACCGACAAACAGAUUAUCUAUUAGCAGAGUCAGGGUGGCAUUGCAGCUUCUGUUUCCAAAAAAUUACAGAUUUUGUAUUCAAGAUGAAAGCUUAGAGCCACACGGAUCGAGUCAGGUUCUCACACUUUCUUGACCCGAAAAGGAUUUAGAAUGUAAUAUGCAACGGUGAUGACUUGUACGAUAUGCUUCCCGAAGAGCACACGUUUAAGGAUAUCAUAGCGAAAAUGGGUCCAAUUUCUCAUUCUUAUUCAGCAGUCCAUCUUCCAUCAUAUCUAUUAAAAAAUGCAGAUGAAUACAGGUAUCUUUUGCCCGGUAAUUGCAUCCGUGAAGCAGGGACGGACCUAUAUAGUGGUCAGGGUGGGCGGCCGCACCCCUUGAAAAAAAAAUUUAGUGUAUAUUUUAGGCAAAAAACCCGACCGCACCCCUUGAAAAUAUGGUUGAACACCUCAUCCGCAACCCCAAGAAAUAAUUUCUGGGUCCGCCAGUGCCGUGAAGCGGGUUGAAUUCGGGUUGAAUUUUGGUUUAAUGUAACUUUUCGUGAUAUAAACAUAGUUUAAGUACUUAUUUACCAAAAGAUUAUAGGCUGUGUUUUUUUUAAUUAAGGAGUGGUUAAGUUGUACAUUUUUUUCCUCCUAUAAUACACAUAUGGAGAGUUUUGAAA